GACGAACGCUGGCGGCGUGCCUAAUACAUGCAAGUUGAGCGAUGAAGUUUGGUGCUUGCACCAAUUUGAAGAGCAGCGAACGGGUGAGUAACGCGUGGGGAAUCUGCCUUUGAGCGGGGGACAACAUUUGGAAACGAAUGCUAAUACCGCAUAACAACUUUAAACAUAAGUUUUAAGUUUGAAAGAUGCAAUUGCAUCACUCAAAGAUGAUCCCGCGUUGUAUUAGCUAGUUGGUGAGGUAAAGGCUCACCAAGGCGAUGAUACAUAGCCGACCUGGGAGGGGGGUCGGCCACAUUGGGACUGGGACACGGCCCAAACUCCUACGGGAGGCAGCCGGAGGGAAUCUUCGGCAAUGGACGAAAGUCUGGACGGGCAACGCCGCGUGAGUGGAGAAGGUUUUCGGAUCGUAAAACUCUGUUGGUAGAGAAGAACGUUGGUGAGAGUGGAAAGCUCAUCAAGUGACGGUAACUACUCAGAAAGGGACGGCUAACUACGUG
rnacentral:rRNA from 1 species